GACGAACGCUGGCGGCGUGCUUAACACAUGCAAGUCGAACGGAAAGGCCCUGCUUUUGUGGGGUGCUCGAGUGGCGAACGGGUGAGUAACACGUGAGUAACCUGCCCUUGACUUUGGGAUAACUUCAGGAAACUGGGGCUAAUACCGGAUAGGAGCUCCUGCUGCAUGGUGGGGGUUGGAAAGUUUCGGCGGUUGGGGAUGGACUCGCGGCUUAUCAGCUUGUUGGUGGGGUAGUGGCUUACCAAGGCUUUGGCGGGUAGCCGGCCUGAGAGGGUGACCGGCCACAUUGGUACUGAGGUACGGCCCAGACUCCUACGGGAGGCAGCAGGGGGGAAUAUUGCACAAUGGGCGGAAGCCUGAUGCAGCAACGCCGCGUGCGGGAUGACGGCCUUCGGGUUGUGAACCGCUUUCGCCUGUGACGAAGCGUGAGUGACGGUAAUGGGUAAAGAAGCACCGGCUAACUACGUG
rnacentral:rRNA from 1 species